UGUGAGCAGCCUCUAGAAGCUGGAAGAAGCAAAGGAAGGAUACUUUCCUGGAGCUUCCAGAAAUAGCAGAGUCUGGCUGACACCUUGAUUUUAGUCCUUUACAAUCACUGAAGCUCAGGUGGGAACUGGAGCCCAUCUUGUCAGACCAGACUAAGGAUCAGGGAGGCAGAGGAGACACUGGCCUGGAACUGGAGCUGUCCAAGAGGAAUAGCUCCCACCCUUGAAUCAAACCAGUGGUGAUGUCCUUCUGCAGAAUGCAGAGAGCUGCUCUCCAGGCCCGUAAAAUCCAGCAUCAACUCCAAAAAGGACUCUUACCAUGGAGGGGGUUCAGUGCUUGAGUCUUCUUGCUAGUUGGGAUGUAUGAGGUCUUCACCUGGGGACCAAGAAGAUAUCUGUCCCCACCAAGAGGAAGUCCCUCCCUGAGAUCAGCUUAAACCAAUUGCUGCCAAGCCCUGAAGACUCCAUCAUUACUUCCAUAUUAGACCUACAAAUUACACCCAGACUUGUAGGCCCAAUACCUUGGACAUUCAUGAUGUCUUAUCCUUAUUUUCGAAAUCAUGUCUAAUUCUGGCAACAGGGAAAAAAAAAUUAAAAAAAAAAGUUAUCCACAA